GCAUGACUUAGUGGUUUGAGUGUUGGACUAUGACUCUGGAGAUCAGGGUUCAAUUCCCAACUUGGCCA